rnacentral:rRNA from 1 species
GCGCACCAGUCGCGAAACUUUACAAUGUGCGAAAGCACGAUAAGGGAACUCUGAGUGCCUCCUAAGGAGGCUGUUCAGGUGUCUAAAAGCACCUGGAGUAAGGGCUGGGUAAGACCGGUGCCAGCCGCCGCGGUAACACCGGCAGCCCAGGUGGUAGCCACUUUUAUUGGGUCUAAAGCGUCCGUAGCCGGUUGAGUAAGUUCCUUGGGAAAUUUGGCUGCUCAACAGUCAAGCUUCCAGGGAAUACUGCUCGACUUGGGGACUGGGGAGAGGUCAGAGGUACUCCAGGGGUAGGGUGAAAUCCAUUAAUCCCUGGGGGACCACCGGUAGCGAAGGCGUCUGACCAGACCAGGUCCGACGGUGAGGGACGAAGGCUA